rnacentral:rRNA from 1 species
UACGUAGGGUGCAAGCGUUGUCCGGAAUUAUUGGGCGUAAAGGGCUCGUAGGCGGUCCAUCACGUCGGGAGUGAAAAGCUGGGGCUUAACCCCAGUCCUGCUUCCGAUACGGGUGGACUAGAGGUAGGCAGGGGAGAACGGAAUUCCUGGUGUAGCGGUGAAAUGCGCAGAUAUCGGGAGGAACACCAGUGGCGAAGGCGGCGAUCUGGGUCGAUACUGACGCUGAGGUGCGAAAGCGUGGGGAGCAAACAGG